GGACCCUUGGCGCAGCGGUAGCGCGUGAGAUUCCAGCAUUACGUCACGUGAUAAUGCUUCCUCAAGGUCAUCCGUUCAAAUCGGGUAGGGUUCA
rnacentral:tRNA from 1 species